rnacentral:tRNA from 1 species
UGGGGUGUAGCUCAGCUGGGAGAGCGUCUCGCUGGCAGCGAGAAGGUCAGGGGUUCGAGUCCCCUCUCCUCCACCA